rnacentral:rRNA from 1 species
GACGAACGCUGGCGGCGUGCUUAACACAUGCAAGUCGAACGGAAAGGCCCUGCUUUUGUGGGGUGCUCGAGUGGCGAACGGGUGAGUAACACGUGAGUAACCUGCCCUUGACUUUGGGAUAACUUCAGGAAACUGGGGCUAAUACCGGAUAGGAGCUCCUGCUGCAUGGUGGGGGUUGGAAAGUUUCGGCGGUUGGGGCUGGACUCGCGGCUUAUCAGCUUGUUGGUGGGGUAGUGGCUUACCAAGGCUUUGACGGGUAGCCGGCCUGAGAGGGUUAACGGCGACCAUGGGCCUAAGAGACGGCCCAGACUCCUACGGGCGGCAGCAGUGGGGAAUAUUGCAGAAUGGGCGGAAGCCUGAUGCAGCAACGCCGGGUGCGGGAUGACGGCCUUCGGGUUGUAAACCGCUUUCGCCUGUGACGAAGCGUGAGUGACGGUAAUGGGUAAAGAAGCACCGGCUAACUACGUG